rnacentral:snoRNA from 1 species
UUUGAAGACCAAUGUGUACUAUGUUUGUUCAUCAUUGGAAACACCUCAUAGAGUAACACUGGUUUUGCUUUGCUCACAGGUCUUUUUCUUGGGCCUGUUGAUAAAGCUUUACAGGACAGCA